ACGGGUGAGUAACGCGUGGGAAUCUACCCAUCUCUACGGAAUAACGCAUGGAAACGUGUGCUAAUACCGUAUACGUCCUUCGGGAGAAAGAUUUAUCGGAGAUGGAUGAGCCCGCGUUGGAUUAGCUAGUUGGUGGGGUAAAGGCCUACCAAGGCGACGAUCCAUAGCUGGUCUGAGAGGAUGAUCAGCCACACUGGGACUGAGACACGGCCCAGACUCCUACGGGAGGCAGCAGUGGGGAAUAUUGGACAAUGGGCGCAAGCCUGAUCCAGCCAUGCCGCGUGAGUGAUGAAGGCCCUAGGGUUGUAAAGCUCUUUCACCGGUGAAGAUAAUGACGGUAACCGGAGAAGAAGCCCCGGCUAACUUCGUGCCAGCAGCCGCGGUAAUACGAAGGGGGCUAGCGUUGUUCGGAUUUACUGGGCGUAAAGCGCACGUAGGCGGACUAUUAAGUCAGGGGUGAAAUCCCGGGGCUCAACCCCGGGACUGCCUUUGAUACUGGUAGUCUUGAGUUCGAGAGAGGUGAGUGGAAUUCCGAGUGUAGAGGUGAAAUUCGUAGA
rnacentral:rRNA from 2 species